AUGAAGCUGGAUUCGCUAGUAAUCGCGCAUCAGCCAUGGCGCGGUGAAUACGUUCCCGGGCCUUGUACACACCGCCCGUCAAGCCAUGGAAGCCGGGGGUGCCUGAAGUGCGUGACCGCAAGGAGCGCCCUAAGGUAAAACCGGUGACUGGGGCUAAGUCGUAACAAGGUAAC
rnacentral:rRNA from 1 species